rnacentral:tRNA from 1 species
GAAAAAUUAGUUAAUUUAUAACCUAAGCUUGUCAUGCUUAAAUAAUCAACCUAAUUGAUAUUUUU